UACGCGCUUACUUCGACCUCUGCUUCGGCAGACUUGGCGAAACCCGC
rfam:Pelobacter acetylenicus strain DSM 3247 genome.